rnacentral:lncRNA from 1 species
AGGCCGGCUCCUUAACCCACUGAGCCACCAGGGAACUCCAGCGCACCUGUUUUAAGCAGACUGAUGGGAGGAUUCUGAGGAGGUGACAUCCUGCAAGGUGUGCAUUAGGUGAGGGACUGGGCACUGCUCCCCAUUCAAGGGCCUGGCAGCCUGGUUCCAGAGGGUAGUGAGAACCUCACUGGGGAAGAGUGAGGUUGACCCAGAGAAGGCAGCUCCUCAGAGCACCUGCAUAUUUGAGGGCAGAGCCAGCCCAGGCAUGUCUCCCCAUUCCCUGUGCCAUGCAGACACUGGCUCACAAAGCAGAGGGGCCACAGCCGGGUGCCUAGGAUCCCUGAAGUCAGGGGAGCCCAGAGCCCUUUUCCUCCCAACCCCCAGUUCGUCCUAGAAGACUGGCUCACAACCAUGGCAACAGAUUCCAUGUGAAGGAGGUGAAGGCAGAUUUUUGGGGCUCACUCAGCGGGAGAUGAGUGCUGGAAGAGAAGGCUGCUCUUCCCCAGUGCUAGGCGGUGACCCAGAAAAUUCUUCAGAAUCCUGUGGUUUCUCCCCAAGCCUGUGAAGAGAGUGGCAGCUGGUAGCCAGGUGGCCAAGCACCCACGCACGGCUGUGGCCUUACUCCACGCUGGCCUUGGGUGUGUGUAUGUGUGUGUGUGUGUGUGUGUGUGUGUGUGACUGGAGUUGGCUAUAAUUGGGGAGAGUCAGAAUCUACCUCCCCCACAUACAUACACAGUCUCUCUCUCUCUCUCUCUCUCUCUCUCUCUCUCUCUCUCAUACACACACACAUACACACACACACACACACACACACACUCCUGGAAGCACAAGGGUCCAUGAACUCAUGCAACAGCAACGCUGAACUGAGAGCACUGGCACCUGCCAUGGGCAGCCCUCUCCUGACCUUGCCUGCUUUCUAUGGUAUCCACCUUCAAGGACAGACGGCAUGAGAGUCAGGGAAUGUUAUGGACUGAGUUGUGUCCAUCCAUGUCCAUACUUGUGACUUUAUUUGGAGACGGGGCAUAUGGGAAGGUAAAUGGAGGUUAAGUGAGGUCAUAGAUAUGACACGCUAAUCCUACAGGACUGUCUUUAAGAAGAGGAAGAGAUAGCAGAGAUUUCUCUCUCCCUGCCAGCACACGGAGGAGAAGUCACCUGAAGACACUGGGAGAAGGUGGCCAUCAACAAGCCAGGAAGAGCCCUGGCCAGGACUCGAUUUGCCAGCACCUUGAUCUUGGAUGUCUAGUCUCAGGAACUGUGAGAAAAUAAAUGUCUGUUGUUCAAGUCACCCAGCCAGUGGGGUUUGAUUACGGUAGCCCAAGAUGACUGAUAUAAGGAGGCUUCAAUAUUUUUCUGCUGUUCCCAGCUGAACUGCAGCACUUUGGAGCUGAGAUCUGAUCUUCAACCUAGGGAAUCUAGGUUGGGUUUUCAUAUAGGGCCAAGCAUGGAGUAGGUGAACAAUAAAACCUAUUCAUUUCUUGAGGGAUGACAAAGAGAGAGGAGACUUUUCCUAGCAGGAGGCGAGAACAGGGAUCUUAGGAUAAGACCAUUAAAAGUGUGGAAAAAGGAGCCGGUUAUGGCCACUCUCCCCUUCCCUUAGACAUCUUUCCUCCCCCCAUGCCCCUAGGGAUGGCACACGUCAUAGAUAAUUUGGGGAUAUUCUAGGUAUUUGUUAUGAUUGAAGGUGGGAGUCUGGAGACCUCCCCUGUUGGAGAAUCCUGAGGUUUUUCUUUGGUCAAUUAAUGGGCACACAUUGAAGUUGUAAAAUGACAACAUGACCUCUUAUUUGAUCCUGGCAGCCAGGCUGAGGGGUUAGGGACCCUGCAUUAUCCUUGUUUUACAGGUGAGAAAACUGAGGUUCAGAGGCCAAGUGCCCUGCCCAAAGUCACACACCUACUGAGAGACCACAGCCUCCUCUAUGGGUCUGUUUCCCUCCCAAGCCUGUGAUCUUUCUACCUGGUUCCCCAGGAACAAGGACCCCAUCACCUGGAUCGGCUUAACCCAGGCUGCCCCUCUGACCAGCUCCAGCCCAAGUUCUCCUCAUUCCAUCCCACGGGUCAGGGAGUCUGUUUCCCGGGGUGAGAAGUGAGCCCAGAGCUAUUCAUCUGACAAUUGCGCCUUUCAGUCCAGAUUUGUUUUUUGAUUUGUUUUCUGUUUGUCUUUACUGCUGGGGGAGGAGGGAGACAUGGGGGAGCCUCAGCCUUUUCUGAGAGCUCUGUGUUUAUUUCUCCUUCUGUUGUGUGGGGAUUUUAAAUGACGAGGCUUUGAUUUUUCUGCCUCCUUGGGAGAUGUGCACAAUUUUUAAAAAACACAUUGGCUCUGGUAUUACAUUGCUGCCCGUUUCUGCCCGCUGAGGAACCCAGGGGCCUCAAAGGCCUGGCUGUGACGGCUGGUGUUCCCUCUCCCACCUUGUGUGGGGGCUUUUGAAAGGAACUCAUCCUGUGUGUUUUGCUGAAGUUGAGAGAGACAGCACGCGAGUCAGAGGGAAAAGCCGGGUACGAAGGGGAACUCUGGGCUGCAUCUUUGCCAGUCUCCACUGGAGCAUCUGUGUUUGAACCUCUGAGCAUGCCCGUGCUCACAGCACUGGGGAACUGUUAUGUGGACCCCAGAGAGGGUGGGCAAACAUGCACCUGCUUGUGGUCAAGCGCCUGCAUCUGAGGGAGCAGAUGCUGAACAC